rnacentral:rRNA from 1 species
AGUGAACGCUGGCGGUAGGCCUAACACAUGCAAGUCGAACGGCAGCACAGUAAGAGCUUGCUCUUACGGGUGGCGAGUGGCGGACGGGUGAGGAAUACAUCGGAGUCUACUUUUUCGUGGGGGAUAACGUAGGGAAACUUACGCUAAUACCGCAUACGACCUACGGGUGAAAGCAGGGGAUCUUCGGACCUUGCGCGAUUAAAUGAGCCGAUGUCGGAUUAGCUAGUUGGCGGGGUAAAGGCCCACCAAGGCGACGAUCCGUAGCUGGUCUGAGAGGAUGAUAAGCCACACUGGAACUGAGACACGGUCCAGACUCCUACGGGAGGCAGCAGUGGGGAAUAUUAGACAAUGGGCGCAAGCCUGAUCCAGCCAUACCGAGUGGGUGAAGAAGGCGUUCGGGUUGUAAAGCCGUUUUGUUGGGAAAGAAAAGCAGCAGGUUAAUACCCCGCUGUUCUGACGGUACCCAAAGAAGAAGCACCGGCUAACUUCGUG